rnacentral:sRNA from 2 species
ACCAGGAAUACAACAGAAAAUCACACAGAGCUCUGCAUCAGAGAGAAGUAAAUACAGAUUGCCAAUGUAUUUCAAACCCAUUCUGAGACUCCCGCUUCAAACUCUGCAAAGGAAGGGAGCUGAAUGAAAGGAGAAAAUGUGAAGCAAGUAUCUUUUUCAGUCAGCUCCCACAACUGUUUCAGCUUCAUUUUCAUCUCUUCCAGUCUUGAAUCCUUUUCCAUAACUUCCCACUGAAGCCGAGUAAUUUCAGCACGGAGAAAGCAAUCUUGUUUUGUAUGAAUAUGGUGGUGGAUAUGGUUUUUGAGAUCUCUCUCUCUGGCAAAUCCAUUUCCUGAGCUUCGAUCACAGUCUGA